AAUAAGGAAGACUUUAAGAACGUACACAGUCAAGUAUUCCACAGUCCACACAUCAUAGAGGAAAACAUAUGGAAGGGUUUUGGUCUGCGAGGUGUUGAACUCUCUGCAAUACCACCAGGUGAAUUUGCAUCCUAGUAUCUUCAGGUACGCCUUUUUGUUGUUUCAUACUUCAGAUUUGGCCACUUCCAUCAUCAAUUUAGUGAAUUUGCAUCCUAGUAUUAAAUUGUUUGUUUCAAUUCAAUAGUAACAACACCCUUGACAAACGUGACUUGAGUUUGAUUUUGGCGUUGACUCUAGUCCAAAAGAUAAGGCAUUCACUUUGAUGAUGAUGUAUUAUCAGAUAGAAGUUAGUUGUGAUUAAUUAUUGAAGAAAAGUGAAGCAAGCAUACUAGCAUAGGCAAUUAGGCAUAUAUAGCUGAAUCUUUGUGUUUCAAAUUGGAAGAAUGGUUUUCAAGUUUUUGGGUUUUGGCCGUUCCAAGAAGCACUCAAGUUCAUCUAAGAAGCCCUGCCCAUCUGUAAUAGAAGAGCUGUGCACUCGAUUUUCUCUGGCCGAUCUUAGGAAAGCAACCAAUAACUUUGAUCAAAAAAAUCUAAUUGGACAAGGAGGAUUUGGUAAAGUAUAUAAAGGUUAUCUCGAAAUUGAUCAUGUUGCUACUGCAGUAGCUGUGAAGCGAAUGGGUAUGUUAUUAAGGCAGCAAGGCGAGGAACAGUUCAAGAUGGAAACUAAGUUGCUCUGCCAACUCCGUCACCCCAAUUUGAUCACUCUGAUCGGAUUCUGCAUCGAAGAAGAUGAGAAGAUUAUCGUGUACGAGUACAUGUCCAAUGGUUCCCUCGCUGAUCAUGUCAACAAUGAUGUUCAUGUAGGGAACCACUGUCAUGGAAGAAGAGGUUAGAGAUCUGCAUAGGAGCAGCACGUGCGGUGCACUACAUUCACUCGGGGCUCAAACGCACCAUCAUUCACCGUGGCGUCAACCCCUCUAACAUUCUUUUGGAUGAAAACAUGGUACCUAAACUCUCUGAUUUCGGGCUUUCCAUACAAGGGCAGUUGUUCACAGAAAAACCAAAACCAAUUGAAGGAAAAUCCAUUGCUGGUACACUUGGUUACAUGCCUCCCGAGAGUCUAAGCAAUCAAAUCUUGACAGAUAAAUUCGAUGUGUAUUCAUUUGGUGUUGUUCUAGUAGCUGUGGUAUGUGCAAAGCCAAUUUAUACAAUUAUUAGGGAGAUGAAUGAUUUUGAAGGAAUUGAAAUGUGUAAUAAUGGUUCAGAAUCUUCAGAUCGUAUCACUAUGCAUUUUUACAUUAUGUCUAGGCUUCGAACAGAGCAUAUUGAUCCGGCUCUGGUAGGAAAUAUUGCACCAGAGUGUUAUGCAGUGUACAUAGAUAUCAUUGACAGGUGUUUGAAGCACGAGCCAGAUGAACGACCAACAAUGGGUGAAGUGGAGAUACAACUUGAACAUGCUCUGACUUUGCAACAAGAAGCAGACGCCAGAGAUACUAGUGAUGAUUAUCUCUCAUUAUUCAUCACCAUUACCCAACCGCAACAACAAGAGGCUUCAAUUUCAGCUUAGAAUAUGUUGUUUUCAUGAGCCAUGGGUGCAUGCCAUGCCGUAUUUAUUUUUUUGGUGCUUCCCAACUUGCAACAUCAACCACUGCUUGAUCUUCGUUUAUGUAUCACUUGACUGCUUCUCUGUUGUUUUUGUUCUGUUUCUGUUGGCAAAAUUCCUUAAUCAUGUAUUUUGUUCAA